GGGCGGAUAGCUCAGUUGGUUAGAGCGUCCCGCUUACACCGGGAAGGUCGUAGGUUCGAGUCCUAUUCCGCCCA
rnacentral:tRNA from 1 species